ACCUCGGGGAUGUAGUGGUAGCACGCGUCCCUGGUAUGGAUGAAGCGCAGGUUCGACUCCUGUAUGAGGUC